ACGAAGGGGGCAAGCGUUACUCGGAAUUAUUGGGCGUAAAGCGUGCGUAGGCGGCUUUAUAAGUUGGAAGUGAAAGCCUUUGGCUCAACCAAAGAAUUGCUUACAAAACUGUAAAGCUAGAGUAUUAGAGAGGAUAGAAGAAUUUCUGAUGUAGGGGUGAAAUCCGUAGAUAUCAGAAAGAAUAUCGAAGGCGAAAGCAUCUGUCUGGCUAAAUACUGACGCUGUUGCACGAAAGCGUGGGGAGCAAACAGG
rnacentral:rRNA from 1 species